rnacentral:rRNA from 1 species
AGUGAACGCUGGCGGUAGGCCUAACACAUGCAAGUCGAACGGCAGCACAGUAAGAGCUUGCUCUUACGGGUGGCGAGUGGCGGACGGGUGAGGAAUACAUCGGAAUCUACUUUUUCGUGGGGGAUAACGUAGGGAAACUUACGCUAAUACCGCAUACGACCUACGGGUGAAAGCAGGGGAUCUUCGGACCUUGCGCGAUUGAAUGAGCCGAUGUCGGAUUAGCUAGUUGGCGGGGUAAAGGCCCACCAAGGCGACGAUCCGUAGCUGGUCUGAGAGGAUGAUCAGCCACACUGGAACUGAGACACGGUCCAGACUCCUACGGGAGGCAGCAGUGGGGAAUAUUGGACAAUGGGCGGAAGCCUGGUCCAGCCAUACCGCGUGGGUGAAGAAGGCCUUCGGGUUGUAAAGCCCUUUUGUUGGGAAAGAAAAGCAGCAGGUUAAUACCCCGCUGUUCUGACGGUACCCAAAGAAUAAGCACCGGCUAACUUCGUG